GAUAUACAUUAAUGUAUUAUGGACUAGAUA
rnacentral:piRNA from 1 species